rnacentral:lncRNA from 1 species
AUAAGAUCGAAGCCACCUUGUGAAGCCCAGAAAACACAUCCAGGAGGUACUCACGAAGUAUGUAAAACCGAAAGCGGACAGGGGGGUAUUAUUCCAUAUAUAUACGGGUGUUAUUUUUAUGGGUACAGAAGGAGGCAGCCGAGGGGUGCUUUCCGUGGCGAGAUACUCCCCCGGUGCCGCAUCCCCCGAGCCCAUCCCCGCACACGGCAGUGCGCUGGGUGCCGAUCCGUGCACACUGCCGGCCCCCCCCGCGCUGCUCCCGCUCCCCGCACCCCGCCACCAGGGCGCCGGAUCUGGCCCCGAGGGGACCGGCGGCGCCCGGCGGCUGAGCGAGCGCAGCCGGGAGGGGGCCGGCACCGGGACCGGGGCCGUGUUUGGGGCCGGGGCCGUGUUUUGGGGCCGGGGGCGGUGCCGUGCCUGACGCGGCGGCGGGGCGGAGCGGGGGCCGUACAAACGGGCUGGCGCCGGGCGCUGCUCGCAGGAGGAGCGGAGCGGAGCGGGCGGCAGCGGGCGCUCGUUACACCGCCCGCCCCGCCGGCACCGGGAGCGCUUCCCACGGCUCCGCCACCGUCUCCUCCGCCGGUACCGGCACCCACGGGCGCCCAUGGCACGGCGCGGAGGGCUCUGCCCCACGGCUCCGCGCCCCCGCGGUAUCUUCUGCAUGGACAGGAAGAAUCAGUCAAAGCCAGAUUUUGCCAGUGGUUUUUUCGUAGACUACUGCAAAAAACAAGGUGUUUUGGAGGGAUCAGGGAAUGCUGUCGGCUGAUGGUCAAGUAGAGGGAGCACCAGUGAGUGUCCUUGCUUUGUUCUGCUCCUGGGAUCAGGAUACCAAUGGAGUUCACUUUGUCUGUGGUAUAUAAACAAAUACUAAUAUUGAUAUGAACCUGGUUACUGAAUAUUUGUAAUAUGCUUGCGUAAUUAUAGAUAGAAGUGUAUAAAAUGGAGCCUUGACAAUACUCCUAGUCAGAUGCAUUGCUGUUUUGUAUCAUUUGUUUGAAUAUGUUUUAUUGCUCUAGAAGAACUAAUUACUGAAAUAUUUUGUCAUUCUAUAUUAUUAAAUGCAGAAGGGCUGAAAAGAACUGGAUGGUGGGCUAAAGGAUACUGAGGAAGCCACCAAAUUUUAACUUUGCUUCUGAUGAAACAAGAAUGACAGUAGUUUGGAGGCAAAUGUAUAGAAAUCUAUUUGUUUCUUAAUGUAAUUCAGAACAAUGCCUACAGGUGAAUACUACAGGACAUGCAGAAUAUGAUUAAGAAAGAACAGGUGUCACUAAGUUGACUGGUUACGUUGACCUUGAUAAAGUGAUUAAACCGUGCAUCAUUAUGCUCCACAGCAAACUUUUGUUUAGUUCAAAACAGAGUUUGAAAAAGCACUAGGAAAAUGUUCAAAAUGCCAAAGGAGUAGUGAGAUCUGAGCAUGACUGAAUGUUACUUUUAAGCCUAUAUUCUUCCUUUGAUGCAGGCUUACAAAUCCAAUUAACAUUAAUGAGAAAUGUGUUGUGCCCAUAUGCAAACGAUGAGCUGAGAACCCCUACUGCCCCCUCCUAGAUUUUUUUGUAUGUUUCAAAUAUUGAACGGUUACAUUGAAAGCAUAUUCUGACUUGAAAAUUUUCAGUUUUGUGUUUAUUCUGCCCUAAUAAAAAUGGAUAGUGACAAAAUGUAAUUGCUUCA